GUGUCAGCAGCCGCGGUAAUACGGAGGGGGCUAGCGUUGUUCGGAAUUAUUGGGCGUAAAGCGCACGUAGGCGGACUGUUAAGUCGGGGGUGAAACCCCGGGGCUCAACCCCGGAACUGCCUUCGAUACUGGCAGUCUUGAGGAUGGGAGAGGCGAGUGGAAUUCCGAGUGUAGAGGUGAAAUUCGUAGAUAUUCGGAGGAACACCAGUGGCGAAGGCGGCUCGCUGGCCCAUUUCUGACGCUGAGGUGCUAAAGCGUGGGGAGCAAACAGGAUUAGAUACCCUGGUAGUCCACGCCGUAAACGAUGAGUGCCAGACGUCGGGCGGCUUGCCGUUCGGUGUCGCAGCUAACGCGUUAAGCACCCCGCCUGGGGAGUACGGCCGCAAGGUUAAAACUCAAAGGAAUUGACGGGG
rnacentral:rRNA from 1 species